GGGGCAGCUGAACAGAGACAGAGCCAAGUGAUCUCCCGCAGCACCUGCCCUCUCCUGAGCUAUGCCUCUGGCCUUCCCGCCUCCUCCUCCACACGGACCUCCGCGCCCCCUGAAGAAGGGGGGAAAAAGAAAUACGCAUUAAUACCUCGAGCCUUGGCGCACCAGCCCUCGCCCCCUCAACCACCUGUCUCUGCGUUCUCCCCCGCAGCCUUCCUCAACUCUGGGCGCCCCCUCUGCAGCAAAGGGGCACCACGCCCACUGCGGAGAGGAGAAAUGCAAGGGAUAUCUCCACUGGACGCCCAACCUCACAUUUCCGCCUGUAGAAAUUCCACCUGUCCUUUAAGGCCAACUCGAAAACCUCUUCCUCUCUGAUUUUCCCAAUCAGCAAUGUCAUUUAUGACCUCAGUUUUCUGAGAGAUACAGUGAGAAGAUGGCCAACUGCAAACCAGGAAGCAGACCUUCUCCAGACACAGAUCUGCUGAUGCCUUGAUCUUAGACUACCUUGCCUCCAGAAUGGUGUCAACAGCUGAAUGGGGAACCUGGACCCACCAGUGUGGUAUCAAAGGAGGGGUGCUAAACAGAAUCUUUCAAUAAGAUCCAGUCUUUCAACAUAAAUCCCAAAUUUCCAGAUGCAAUUAAAAUCACUGGUAAUACCAAGAACCAGGAAAAUCUCAAUUUGAUUGAGAAAAAACCAUUAACAGAUGCCAACAUUGAGAUGAUAAAGAUGUUGAAACCAUCUGACAAGAAUUUUAAAACAGACAGCCAUCAUAAACAUGCUUUAAUGAGCAAUUGCAGCAUGCUUGAAACAAAAGAACAGAAACACUCAGCAAAGAAAUAGAAGGUAUAAAGAAGAAUCACAUGCUUUGCUUGAGCCUUAAAAGAAUCACUCACAUUUCUGGAACAAUCACCCUCACUUUGCUCCUGGGACAAGGCUUCUUCCUCUCUCGGGAACACCCAUAUCUCUCCUUUUCUCCUCUUUAACUCCUGCUUGACCAAAGGAUCAGUCCAGACGUCACUUCUCCUGGGAAGCCUUCCAUGGUCUUCCACGGCUUCCAUGCCCCUCCCACUCAGAGCUUCCUAUACCAUAGCACUUACACUCAAUGCAUAUUGUUCUGUCAUCUGUCCCUCCCACAUCCACCCAAUGUAAAGACUUGACAGAAGGGACUAUGUCUUAUCCCAGGUGCCUGGCAUAGUACCUGGCUUAUAAUAAGCACUCAAAUAUUUUUUGAAUAAAUGAAUAAAUUAAUGAAUAAAUGGAAACUCUUCUGUGGCUCCUCUUCUAUUGGAUAAAAUUAAACUCUGUGGUUUAGCUUUAAACACCCUACACAAACUGUGACACCCGGAUCUUUCUGGUACUCGGCUUCCCUUAACACAUUCUACUUCUCUGUCAUACCAGAAAACACAUUGUCCUUUGACAGUACCUUAUCUUUCCCCAUCACUACAUAUUGUAUGUACUCUUCUAUCAGUCUCAAAUGUCCUUACUCAUUACUAUCAUCAAAAUCGUAUUCAUUUUUACAGGACCCACUCAGAAACCACCUGUUCAUGACCCAGUCUCAGAUCUUCUCAGCUGGAAAGGGUCCUGCCCACAUCUAGAUACAAAGCACUUCAUUUAGUCUUUCCUCGUGUUAUUUCUCACUUUCUGUUGUGCAUUUUUUUUCUUGCUUCUUUGUUUAAAUGUGUGUUGUAUUAUCCCCAAGAUUUAAACAUUUGGGGUUCAAAUAAACUCACAUCCUAUUCAUCUUUGCCUCUGCCACUGUGCACGUAACACAGUCCCUUGUUAUUCUCUGAGUUUCAGUUUCUUUUUCUGAGAUAAUAGAACCUACUUCACAGGGUUUCUGUGAAUGUUAAGUAAAAUAUGCUAUUUAAAUAUUGGCACCAUAUCUCAAUUUUCAUACAGUAAGCACUCAAAAACUGUUAGCUACUAUCAUUGUAAAUAUGAUUAUUAUUUGAAGAAAUAAAUAGACUGAGCAAGUCCUGUUACCUCUACUUUGAAACCACUUUUUGAAUUCUGCUUGAUCUCAUCACUGCCAAUAUGAUCACCUGCUCCCAGCCAUGAUCGUUCUUCUUGCUACGGUCUCCUUCUACUUUCUUAUCCCUCAACCUCUAUUCUCUACUCAGCAGCCAGCAUGAUCCUUUUAAAACAUAAAGCAGAUGAUAUGACUUCUCUGCUCAAAACCCUCCAGUGGCUUCCCAAUCUACAACUAAAAAGGCCCCAUGUAGUCUGACCUCCUGCCUCUCCCCACCCCCACUCACUGACACAACCUCAUGGCCAUCUUGCCCCCUGCCAUCUGAGGCUUUCUGCACUUGGCAGCUUUUCAUCAUAGGGCUUUGCACUUGUCCUUUCCCCUGUGUGGGAUAAUCUCUCCCAGCUUGGCAUACAACCUGCUUCUCCACUUCAUUCAAGUGAAGCUGUGCUCUCCACUGUUAUUUUUCUAAAAGUAACCACCAUAUGUAAAAUACCAACCAUUA
rnacentral:lncRNA from 10 species